GUGCUCGCUUCAGCAGCACAUAUACUAAAACUGGAAUGAUACAAAGAUUAGCACCACCCCUGCACAAAGAUGAUACACAAAUUCGUGAAGUGUUCCAUAUUUUU
ensembl:snRNA U6 U6 spliceosomal RNA